UACGAAGGGGGCUAGCGUUGCUCGGAAUCACUGGGCGUAAAGGGCGCGUAGGCGGCCAUUCAAGUCAGGGGUGAAAGCCUGUGGCUCAACCACAGAAUUGCCUUUGAUACUGUUUGGCUAGAGACCGGGAAGAGGUAAGUGGAACUGCGAGUGUAGAGGUGAAAUUCGUAGAUAUUCGCAAGAACACCAGUGGCGAAGGCGGCUCACUGGCCCGGUACUGACGCUGAGGUGCGAAAGCGUGGGGAGCAAACAGG
rnacentral:rRNA from 1 species